rnacentral:lncRNA from 1 species
GCCUACAGCGACCUAUGCUCGAUAGAAGCUGUCGUCCUUAUUAACAGCCUAUCAUUUGGUCGUGAACAGUUUUAAGGACUAAUCGAUAAAUCCUCUCUUUAUCGAACUUAAAUAGUCCUAAGGACUUCAUCAUAACAACGGAGUUCAUUAGAAGAUGAAAGCUUAUGAUGAAAAUGCCAAAUAUAUUUUAUUUAUUAACAAAUCAAUUACAAUACUUGGUUGCUCAACCGUCAACAGCUUGACGAUUGGCUUUUUGGGAUACAUUUCCCAACACA